CCAUUGCUCAGAGAUAGAGCAUCUGCCUUGCAUGCAGAAGGUCAUGGGUUCAAUCCCAUAUGCAGGU